AAUAAGUUUAUUUUUUAUUUUUUGGAUACAAUAUUUAACUAUUCGUUUUACUGAAAAAAAUUGUGAUUAAUUUUGUAUUGUUAUUAGAUGAUAAAACAUAAAUAGUAUUUUACGUGUGACUAAUUUUUUGAGUUUUUUUUAAGUUUUCAAAUAAGACGGAUGAUCAAACGUUGGACAUGUACACUCA
rnacentral:pre_miRNA from 1 species